rnacentral:rRNA from 1 species
UGAAUACGAGACGCUAAGGCGUCGAAGUAGUGUAUGUCAUACUUCCAAGAAAAGCUUGCACUGUCAUAGAUAAAAAACGCCUGUACCAUAACCGACACAGGUGGGUAGGUAGAGUAUACUAAGGGGCGCGAGAUAACUCUCUCUAAGGAACUCGGCAAAAUAACUCCGUAACUUCGGGAGAAGGAGUGCCUUAUUAUUAAGGCUGCAAUAACAAGAUCCAAGCAACUGUUUAUCAAAAACACAGGUCUCCGCUAAGUCGUAAGACGAUGUAUGGGGGCUGACGCCUGCCCAGUGCCAGAAGGUUAAAGAAGUUGGUUAGCAUUUGCGAAGCUGAUAACUGAAGCCCUGGUGAACGGCGGCCGUAACGAUAACGGUCCUAAGGUAGCGAAAUUCCUUGUCGGGUAAGUUCCGACCCGCACGAAAGGCGUAAUGAUUUGGAUACUGUCUCGGAGAGGGGCUCGGUGAAAUAGACUUGUCUGUGAAGAUGCGGACUACCUGCACCAGGACAGAAAGACCCUAUGAAGCUUUACUGUAACUUGAAAUUGAAAUUGGACUUUAUUCGCGCAGCAUAGGUGGGAGGCGUUGAUUAUAAUCUUGUGGGAUUAUUGGAGCCAUCAGUGAGAUACCACUCUUGUAAUGUUAGAUUUCUAACUUUGAAUCAUUAUCUGGUCAAAGAACAGUUUCAGGCGGGCAGUUUGACUGGGGCGGUCGCCUCCUAAACGGUAACGGAGGCGUACAAAGGUUUCCUCUGAACGGUUAGAAAUCGUAUCUAGAGUGUAAAGGCAUAAGGAAGCUUGACUGUGAGACCUACAAGUCGAGCAGGGACGAAAGUCGGUCUUAGUGAUCUGACGGUACUGAGUGGAAAGGCCGUCACUCAACGGAUAAAAGUUACUCUAAGGAUAACAGGCUGAUCUCCCCCAAGAGUUCACAUCGACGGGGAGGUUUGGCACCUCGAUGUCGGCUCAUCGCAUCCUGGGGCGGUAGUACGUCCCAAGGGUUGGGCUGUUCGCCCAUGAAAGCGGUACGCGAGCUGGGUUCAGAACGUCGUGAGACAGUUCGGUCCAUAUCCGGUGUAGGCGUUAGAAUAUUGAGAGGAGCCUUCUUUAGUACGAGAGGACCGAGAAGGACAUACCUCUGGUGUACCAGUUAUCGUGCCAACGGUAAACGCUGGGUAGCUAUGUAUGGAGUGGAUAACCGCUGAAAGCAUCUAAGCGGGAAGCCCACCUCAAGAUAAGUAUUCUCAC